UUUUUUUUUCCUUCCUUUUCCUUCCUAUGGGGCUAAAAAAAGAAUUAAGCCUUCUGUAUGAAAUGACUGAUUCAGUGUAAAGCCAUACGCUCUUUUCCCACCCUUCUGUGAGAAUCACUUCUUUACUUUGACUGACAAAAAAAUAAUGUGUUUGUGUGAGCACAGCCCUACUUAGAGGAAGAAAUGAAACUUCAGCAUCAUCCACAGUUUUGGGCUUUGAUAUUCUUGAACACAAUGUACUAAAAGAAGGGCCCAAGCCACCCCUUCUACAGAAAGGGGAUAUGUUUGGGAUGCAUAUUUAACCAUGCAAAGCGUAAUGUUGAGUGAGGUUGAGCACCUGCAGAGUAGGAACUGGCAGAGCCGAGGUGACACCGUGCAUCCCUUGUUCUUGUGAUGACCAGAGAGAGGAAUUUGCUUCUGCGUGAGCCCUGCUGCACUGGCCCUCUCCACCCGGCUGCAGGACCUGAGAGGGAUGUGUGCUUGAGGAGAUCUGAGCCCUCACAUCUACUUACAUUUCUGCUUCCAAGAAUUGCUCUUAGGUAAAGAACACUCCUGCCUUCGAUUAAAAGAACUAAUUUACAAAGCAACAAUAAGCAAAGAAAACCCUUCUGUACAACAGUCGCAGCACCUCAUUGCUACUGAGCUCAAAAGACCAACUUGACAUUUCGUGUUGGCUCCUGUGCUGAAGCAACAGGAAUAAUGGGGACCAGCUGAGUGCAGGCAGACCUUCAGUCCUCUGGGUCCUUCAAAAGCCAGCAACCGUGAGAGGGGCCGUGGUUACACCGGAACAAUGUCCUGUCAUGAAGCUCGGGGCAUCAGCGCCGACGUCAAAGGCUGCUCAGCCAGGAAAGACCCCGGCUGGAUCUCCUGGAAGCUGGCGCUCGCAGCAGCAGCUCGGGAGGGCUGCGAUGCGCAGACGGCUGCAGCCCUGUCUCUGCUAAUUGGCUCUGUUCCUCUGGAUGCUGCUGGUUUAUGCCCAGCACUGUGAAGCCUCCGCAACUGAGCAGAAAAAAAAUGUUGAGGAAGUUUCCUCCUGCAGCAGCAAAUCUCAAACCCAUGGAGCCUUGAUAAAUAAAUAAGGAUCCACGUUCUGCUCCCA
rnacentral:lncRNA from 1 species